AGCAUGUGGUUUAAUUCGUAAGCAACGCGAAGAACCUUACCAGUCUUGACAUCCGAUGCUAUUUCUAGAGAUAGAAAGUUACUUCGGUACAUCGGUGACAGGUGGUGCAUGGUUGUCGUCAGCUCGUGUCGUGAGAUGUUGGGUUAAGUCCCGCAACGAGCGCAACCCCUAUUGUUAGUUGCCAUCAUUCAGUUGGGCACUCUAGUGAGACUGCCGGUAAUAAACCGGAGGAAGUGGGGAUGACGUCAAAUCAUCAUGCCCCUUAUGACCUGGGCUACACACGUGCUACAAUGGUUGGUACAACGAGUUGCGAGUCGGUGACGGCGAACUAAUCUCUUAAAGCCAAUCUCAGUUCGGAUUGUAGGCUGCAACUCGCCUACAUGAAGUCGGAAUCGCUAGUAAUCGCGGAUCAGCACGCCGCGGUGAAUACGUUCCCGGGCCUU
rnacentral:rRNA from 1 species